rnacentral:lncRNA from 11 species
GGGACAUUUCAGCAGUCAUUUUGGACAAGAGCAGUAAAGUAUGCCUUAUGUGGCUGGAGUGAAAAUUAGGAACAGCAAGAGUGGCAAAGCACUGGCUGUCCAUGGAGUCUUUAGGAGCAACGGGAGAAGACGCUUUCAGCACAAAUGCUUCUGAGUGUGAUGUUCUCUCAGAGGGGGAAACUUCUGAUGUACCUUCCCCAGUUUUGAAUGAGAAACAGGGAACCUCUUGGGAAGAAAAUGCAGAGUUACCAGGAGACAAUGCCUCUUCUUGUAAGUGUGUUCCAGUGAACUCAGAUGUACCUUCAUCACCAUGUGUCAACAGAGAAAUUGUACUCCAGCAACAGCAGCAGCAGCAAAAAGCUAUAACACUGAAGGUAAUUAUGGUGAACCGUAAAACUGGGCUUCCUAAUGCUGAACUGCAGAGAUAUUUAAGAAAACAACUCCGUCUUCUGGAGAAUGACAACCAGAAAGCCUGGACAGUUUUUAGUGAGCUGUCUGCCAGACUACUUUCAAUUCACAGUGAAGAUCACCUAAUAGUGGUAACAUUUUGGACUUUUGAAGAAAUCUGGAAAUUUAUCACUUAUCAUUCCCUUGGUAAAGUACUACUAUUUAUAGGAAAGUAUGUGUGUAAAUUGUAUCUAAAUAGUAAU